CGAGACCCUGCUGAAGCGACCGGGCUGUGAUUUGGACUAAGUUUCUGACUUCCUCUUCCGCGGACCUCCGAGAAGCCGGAGAAUGGAGGACCACCCGUACGCGCUGCGCAGAGCUGGCGACUUCGUUGUGAAAAUAUAGUUUACAAUAGAUAAAUAGAUGGAUAGACAGACAGAGAGACAAUUGAUAGACAGAUAGAUAGAUAGAUAGACGGAUAGAUAGAGCGAUGAACAGAUACCCCAGUCCCCCAGAAACCAGAAGAGUCUCCCAGGAGCAGCAGGAAGAGGAGGAGCCCGACUGCCCGGCAGGACCGAUAAAGUUCCAGACAGCCUUCCCUCGCGCCUGGCGGGGGAAGGCUGGUUGGCGUGGUUCUACUUUUUUAUUUAGGUAUCGAUUGCUGUGACACAGAAGAGUCUACCGGGAUCUCCUUAACGAUGACGAAGAAGAUGACGAGGGAGGACCACAUGAGAAGGAUGAAGGACCACCCAGCCCCCCGUCACCGCCCGCCCCGCCCACCGCCCGCCCCGCCCAUACAGGAAGCAGCUGUGAAGAAGACGGACACUUCAGCCUGAACGAGACUUAAUAAUCCUUUAAUUUGUCCCAUGGAAUACUGUACGUUCAUGUUAACUGUGUACAGUAUUUAGAUUAUU